rnacentral:rRNA from 1 species
CUACGGGAGGCAGCAGGGGGGAAUUUUGGACAAUGGGCGAAAGCCUGAUCCAGCCGUGCCGCGUGAGUGAAGAAGACCUUCGGGUUGUAAAGCUCUUUUA